AUUGAACGCUGGCGGCAUGCCUUACACAUGCAAGUCGAACGGUAACGGGCCUUCGGGCGCCGACGAGUGGCGAACGGGUGAGUAAUGCAUCGGAACGUACCUUUCAGUGGGGGAUAACGUAGCGAAAGUUACGCUAAUACCGCCUAUUCUGUGAGCAGGAAAGCAGGGGAGCGCAAGACCUUGCGCUGAUUGCGCGGCCGAUGUCAGAUUCGCUAGUUGGUGAGGUAAAGGCUCACCAAGGGGACGAUCUGUAGCGGGUCUGAGAGGAUGAUCCGGCACACUGGAAAUGAGACACGGUCCAGACUCCUACGGGAGGAAGCAGUGGGGAAUUUUGGACAAUGGGGGCAACCCUGAUCCAGCCAUGCCGCGUGAGUGAAGAAGGCCUUCGGGUUGUAAAGCUCUUUCGGUCGGGAAGAAAUCGCAUGGGUUAAUACCCUGUGCGGAUGACGGUACCGGCAUAAGAAGCACCGGCUAACUACGUGCCAGCAGCCGCGGUAA
rnacentral:rRNA from 1 species